CAGCCGCCGCGGGAAUACGUAGGUCCCGAGCGUUGUCCGGAUUUAUUGGGCGUAAAGCGAGCGCAGGCGGUUAGAUAAGUCUGAAGUUAAAGGCUGUGGUUUAACCAUAGUACGCUUUGGAAACUGUUUAACUUGAGUGCAAGAGGGGAGAGUGGAAUUCCAUGUGUAGCGGUGAAAUGCGUAGAUAUAUGAAGGAACACCGGUGGCGAAAGCGGCUCUCUGGCUUGUAACUGACGCUGAGAGACGAAAGCUAGGGGAGCAAAUGGGAUUAGAUACCCCUGUAGUCCCUGUCUCUUAUACA
rnacentral:rRNA from 1 species